rnacentral:rRNA from 1 species
UUAAGCGACUAAGCGUACACGGUGGAUGCCCUGGCAGUCAGAGGCGAUGAAGGACGUGCUAAUCUGCGAAAAGCGUCGGUAAGGUGAUAUGAACCGUUAUAACCGGCGAUGUCCGAAUGGGGAAACCCAGUGUGAUUCGUCACACUAUCGUUAACUGAAUACAUAGGUUAACGAGGCGAACCGGGGGAACUGAAACAUCUAAGUACCCCGAGGAAAAGAAAUCAACCGAGAUUCCCCCAGUAGCGGCGAGCGAACGGGGAGCAGCCCAGAGUCUGAAUCAGCUUGUGUGUUAGUGGAACGGUCUGGAAAGUCCGACGGUACAGGGUGAUAGUCCCGUACACCAAAAUGCACAGGUUGUGAACUCGAAGAGUAGGGCGGGACACGUGGUAUCCUGUCUGAAUAUGGGGGGACCAUCCUCCAAGGCUAAAUACUCCUGACUGACCGAUAGUGAACCAGUACCGUGAGGGAAAGGCGAAAAGAACCCCGGCGAGGGGAGUGAAAAAGAACCUGAAACCGUGUACGUACAAGCAGUGGGAGCACCUUCGGGUGUGACUGCGUACCUUUUGUAUAAUGGGUCAGCGACUUAUAUUCUGUAGCAAGGUUAACCGUAUAGGGGAGCCGCAGGGAAACCGAGUCUUAACUGGGCGUUAAGUUGCAGGGUAUAGACCCGAAACCCGGUGAUCUAGCCAUGGGCAGGUUGAAGGUUGGGUAACACUAACUGGAGGACCGAACCGACUAAUGUUGAAAAAUUAGCGGAUGACUUGUGGCUGGGGGUGAAAGGCCAAUCAAACCGGGAGAUAGCUGGUUCUCCCCGAAAGCUAUUUAGGUAGCGCCUCGUGAACUCAUCUUCGGGGGUAGAGCACUGUUUCGGCUAGGGGGUCAUCCCGACUUACCAACCCGAUGCAAACUACGAAUACCGAAGAAUGUUAUCACGGGAGACACACGGCGGGUGCUAACGUCCGUCGUGAAGAGGGAAACAACCCAGACCGCCAGCUAAGGUCCCAAAGUCAUGGUUAAGUGGGAAACGAUGUGGGAAGGCACAGACAGCCAGGAUGUUGGCUUAGAAGCAGCCAUCAUUUAAAGAAAGCGUAAUAGCUCACUGGUCGAGUCGGCCUGCGCGGAAGAUGUAACGGGGCUAAACCAUGCACCGAAGCUGCGGCAGCGACACGAUGUGUUGUUGGGUAGGGGAGCGUUCUGUAAGCCUGCGAAGGUGGCCUGUGAGGGUUGCUGGAGGUAUCAGAAGUGCGAAUGCUGACAUAAGUAACGAUAAAGCGGGUGAAAAGCCCGCUCGCCGGAAGACCAAGGGUUCCUGUCCAACGUUAAUCGGGGCAGGGUGAGUCGACCCCUAAGGCGAGGCCGAAAGGCGUAGUCGAUGGGAAACAGGUUAAUAUUCCUGUACUUGGUGUUACUGCGAAGGGGGGACGGAGAAGGCUAUGUUAGCCGGGCGACGGUUGUCCCGGUUUAAGCAUGUAGGCUGGUUAUCCAGGCAAAUCCGGAUAAUCAAGGCUGAGGUGUGAUGACGAGGCACUACGGUGCUGAAGUAACAAAUGCCCUGCUUCCAGGAAAAGCCUCUAAGCAUCAGGUAACAUCAAAUCGUACCCCAAACCGACACAGGUGGUCAGGUAGAGAAUACCAAGGCGCUUGAGAGAACUCGGGUGAAGGAACUAGGCAAAAUGGUGCCGUAACUUCGGGAGAAGGCACGCUGGUGUGUAGGUGAAGUCCCUGCGGAUGGAGCUGAGACCAGUCGAAGAUACCAGCUGGCUGCAACUGUUUAUUAAAAACACAGCACUGUGCAAACACGAAAGUGGACGUAUACGGUGUGACGCCUGCCCGGUGCCGGAAGGUUAAUUGAUGGGGUUAUCCGUAAGGAGAAGCUCUUGAUCGAAGCCCCGGUAAACGGCGGCCGUAACUAUAACGGUCCUAAGGUAGCGAAAUUCCUUGUCGGGUAAGUUCCGACCUGCACGAAUGGCGUAAUGAUGGCCAGGCUGUCUCCACCCGAGACUCAGUGAAAUUGAACUCGCUGUGAAGAUGCAGUGUACCCGCGGCAAGACGGAAAGACCCCGUGAACCUUUACUAUAGCUUGACACUGAACAUUGAGCCUUGAUGUGUAGGAUAGGUGGGAGGCUUUGAAGCGUGGACGCCAGUCUGCGUGGAGCCAACCUUGAAAUACCACCCUUUAAUGUUUGAUGUUCUAACGUUGGCCCCUUAUCGGGGUUGCGGACAGUGUCUGGUGGGUAGUUUGACUGGGGCGGUCUCCUCCCAAAGCGUAACGGAGGAGCACGAAGGUUAGCUAAUCCUGGUCGGACAUCAGGAGGUUAGUGCAAUGGCAUAAGCUAGCUUGACUGCGAGCGUGACGGCGCGAGCAGGUGCGAAAGCAGGUCAUAGUGAUCCGGUGGUUCUGAAUGGAAGGGCCAUCGCUCAACGGAUAAAAGGUACUCCGGGGAUAACAGGCUGAUACCGCCCAAGAGUUCAUAUCGACGGCGGUGUUUGGCACCUCGAUGUCGGCUCAUCACAUCCUGGGGCUGAAGUAGGUCCCAAGGGUAUGGCUGUUCGCCAUUUAAAGUGGUACGCGAGCUGGGUUUAGAACGUCGUGAGACAGUUCGGUCCCUAUCUGCCGUGGGCGCUGGAGAAUUGAGGGGGGCUGCUCCUAGUACGAGAGGACCGGAGUGGACGCAUCACUGGUGUUCGGGUUGUCAUGCCAAUGGCACUGCCCGGUAGCUAAAUGCGGAAGAGAUAAGUGCUGAAAGCAUCUAAGCACGAAACUUGCCCCGAGAUGAGUUCUCCCUGAGACUUUAAGUCUCCUGAAGGAACGUUGAAGACGACGACGUUGAUAGGCCGGGUGUGUAAGCGCAGCGAUGCGUUGAGCUAACCGGUACUAAUGAACCGUGAGGCUUAACCUU